UACGUAGGGCGCAAGCGUUAUCCGGAAUUAUUGGGCGUAAAGAGCUCGUAGGCGGUUUGUCGCGUCUGCCGUGAAAAUCCAGGGCUCAACCCUGGACCUGCAUUCGAUACGGGCAGACUAGAGUUCGGUAGGGGAGACUGGAAUUCCUGGUGUAGCGGUGAAAUGCGCAGAUAUCAGGAGGAACACCGGUGGCGAAGGCGGGUCUCUGGGCCGAAACUGACGCUGAGGAGCGAAAGCUAGGGGAGCAAACGGG
rnacentral:rRNA from 1 species